rnacentral:tRNA from 1 species
CGGGGUAUAGCGUAGUCCGGUUAGCGCGCCUGCUUUGGGAGCAGGAGGUCGCAGGUUCAAAUCCUGCUACCCCGACAA